GAUGAACGCUGGCGGCGUGCCUAAUACAUGCAAGUCGAGCGAACAGACGAGGAGCUUGCUCCUCUGACGUUAGCGGCGGACGGGUGAGUAACACGUGGAUAACCUACCGAUAAGACUGGGAUAACUUCGGGAAACCGGAUCUAAUACCGGAUAAUAUAUUGAACCGCAUGGUUCAAUAAUGAAAGACGGUUUUGCUGUCACUUAUAGAUUGAUCCGCGCCGCAUUAGCUAGUUGGUAAGGUAACGGCUUACCAAGGCGACGAUCCCUAGCCGACCUGAGAGGGUGAUCGGACACACUGGAACUGAGACACGGUCCAGACUCCUACGAGAGGCAGCAGUAGGGAAUCUUCCGCAAUGGGAGAAAGCCUGACGGAGCAACGCCGCGUGAGUGAUGAAGGUCUUCGGAUCGUAAAACUCUGUUAUUAGGGAAGAACAAAUGUGUAAGUAACUAUGCACGUCUUGACGGUACCUAAUCAGAAAGCCACGGCUAACUACGUG
rnacentral:rRNA from 1 species